GACCGGGACAAUUUUAUGCCGAAUUCAUUAGUGUCCUCUCGAAAUAAGGCCUAAACCAACACUGUAACGGAGAAAUGUUCUGCCGGCGUCCCUCUCACCUUUGGAUUAUUUCAGUGAUUAGUCUGCUGUCGGACGAGGCGCCAAAGAGGAGGUGUCUGUGUGGAAGAAAAGGAAAUCUGUGAUUGAUCCUUCUACACACACCGCAACUGCCUUUGUUCAGGAAUAAUUCUGUCGGAUUAAAGCGGCACACGACGCGGUCGUGGAAUCUCCAGAGGCUCAGAGGAAUUGGAUUUUUCUACUUUAUACGUACUUCCCCACUCAUCCACUGGGCAAAGGGUCGAGCGUGUGAGGAAUAUCCCGGCCUUUCAGGUGUCUGCGUCAACCACGUCUUCGACUUUUUGUCGUCCAGCUAAUCACGAAAGCCAAGAAGCGAACAUCGAGCGUCAGCGCCAACAGCGCCAGCAGCGGUUCGGGCUCUUCCGGCCUGGACUCUCUCAGUUACUGGACAACAUUUUACUGCCCGUCUCCAUCGUUUGAUUCCUGUUCCUCCUCUUUCGGCCGGCCAACUCGGAUCAGCGAGCCAAUGUCGUUGCUGGAAGUCCUUCACCAAUUGCCUAAU